CACGCCCCCGGACGCAGCUCCGCCCCCUGCGCGCCCAGGUUCGGACCCUCGGGCUGCGCGUGCGCCUGGGGUUGGCAGCCCGCGGAGGCCGCCCCCCGUGCAGGUGCGACGGGGCAGGCUGGGGGCGGAGCACAGUGACACGGCUGGCAGGCCAGAGCUGGGUCUCCCAGUGGAGAGGAGAUAAUCAGCCCAGGAAAGAUGUACAUGGCAGACAGCAUCCUCCUGUGCAGGCCCACACGGUCACCCAGAGGCUACAGAACACUUUAAAGGCUGAAAUAUUCAAAUGAGGAAGCAAAGAGUAGAAAAAUUGGUUUGGAAGAAUCCAAUCAGAUUGCAAGAUGUUUGUAAUUGGGAAAAUGGUGAGAUGGCUGGAGGAGCUCCGUGCUGCCCACCUGGGGCACAGCCGUUCAGGGAGGAGACGAAUCUCCACUGUAAACUCAUUUACUCACCUGUGGAUCUUGAGUUUUAUGGAACAAACUUUGCCUAGAACAAGCCCUUGAUGGGUGUCGGCUUCUGUGUAGAGUCUGUGCCCGUGGUGAUCUUCCUGGAAGCAGCGGCGAGGGAAGAUGCCCCUGGGUCUGGAGAAUUAUCUCCCAGGGUACUCAGGGGGGACGCGGAAGGACAAUCGUGCCACGCUUAUUGCACCAGGAAUGAUAAAUGCCCAUGAGGAAAUGGAGCCGAAGAUUCAUGUCUACAAAAACGAAAGCCAUCGACCACUUAGCCUCUUACGUGCUGAAGCAGAUGGGACAACAUGAGGUACUGUUAGUGACAUCAUACUGGCCUUGUGGUCACAGCCAGCACAGGGCAGCCCUGGCCCCGGCCAUGCCUCCUGUGUGGGCAGGGGUGCAUGGGUGGCUCUCUGGUCGCAGCGUCGGACCCUCUGGGGGCCAAGAGUCCGUGUUGUGAACAAGCCCCCGGGUGGCUCCAGCGACUCACUGAGGCGUCAGGGCCCCCUGCUCUGCUGACUACAGAGCGAGGGCCCCAUUUUUCCCAUUUCUAACUGCCAUCUGUUCAGGUUCAGGCGAGGAAUAGGAACAAAACGGUUUUGAGUGACUUCAGUACAUAGUUCACAUCUGCUGCCGUCUUUCCUGGAUGGGGCCUGUUGAUUCCCCCUCCCGGCCGGUGGAUUUGUUCUCUGAGCUUUCAUAACCUGCAGGAAGUUCAGGCCAGGGGUCACCGUGGUCGUUUCUCCUGUUCUUGCAGGAGGCCUGGGUCACCCACGUGCCCAGAGGCAGAAUGUCUGGGCCCCAGGGCCUGCCAGCAGGCACCCCAUGAGCUUCCUGCACCCAUCUUCCAUCAGAAGCCCAGAUGAGGGGGGCAGUACCAACAGGGGCCGCUUGAAAGGUGUGCGGUCUGUCACCUCCCAGACAGUCCGGACGUCACCUGAAGAUAGAGCUGGACCCCCAGAGUCGCAGCCAUGGAGCGCUGGCCUCGGCCCCAACUCGUCCCUGAGAUGUCCCUGCCCACAGCCUUCUCACGGCCCAUAGGAGGCCCUGGCGAGUUACCACACAGAGCCUGUGGCGUGUACACCGCGCAGAAGCCGCCUCCCACCGAGCCACUCUGCGCCCUUCGGACGGGAUCGCGUGAACAGUCUAUCAGACCUGAGUCACAUUUCUCCUGCAGGGCUGUCUGUUUACUUAACUGGCAUGUGCUGCUCGUCAGGCAGCUUCCCCUUUGCCUUACUGCUUUGGUGGUGGGGGAAUGCUAAGCCAGGAACUUUAGUCCAGGUUUUCACAAUUAUUCAUGGCCCAUGACUGGUAUCAUUCAUUGCAAAGGCAAGGGGGGGCGAGGUGGUACGUAUGCCAGUGAGUGGGG